CCUUCUUGCAUUUUCUCUCUCUUCAGCUCGAAUUCUUCAAUGGCGAGAACCAGAGGAGGUGCAACAUUUCAAAGAAAACGUGACCUUUGUUCUUCGGCUACAAAAGUCGACGAACCACCACCUUCUGGCUUGAAGAAGAAUACUAGAGCUAAAAAGAAAAAGAGUGUUGCUGAAGAAGAUGUUUCUAGAGAGGUUCAUGAACAUCCAGUUUCUGCAACUGGUUCACGUUCACCUUCAUCUCGCCAAAAGAGAACUCGUGAAGAUGAACCCGAACCUAGAGUUGAAGCUACUGCUCUUGUUCGUGUUAAGAAGCCAAGGAUAAGAAUGAAGAAAUCAAUAGUUGAAGCUGGUGGUGAUGUACCUACGUUACAAUAGUAGAAGCUGUCGGCAGUGAUGACAAUUCACAACUAGUGGACAAUGUUUAUCAAGAAUUGGAGGAGUGGAUGAAUAUAGCUUGCAAUACUUUUGGUCUGUCAGAAGUGGAGCUGGUAAUACUUUCUGUUUUUUUAUGCUGUGAAAAAUAUAGUUCCCUUUUUUCAUGUUAUAAAUACCUUUUUUUAAAUGAGAGUGCCUAUUAUAAAUUGCAUAAGUAUAUAUUUAAAAGAGGUCACUAUAAUAUAAAAAAUGGAAUCUACAUGUGUUUUUUUUUUCUAACUAAUGGUGGUAUCAUUUUUGCAGAUAUUUUUACCUUGUCUUUGGGGCAGUCACUAUUUAUUAUUUGUGGUGAAUUUGACUGAAUUGAUAAUAUGAAUUAUGAUGAGGAUAAUCGUAUCUUCUUGAAAAAGUUUUCUAGUCUCUUGGUAUUACUUUCUCACUCUUCCAUAUUCUCACUAUUUUCUUGUCUAAUAGGAUUUGAUUGUGAGUUUUAGGAAUUAGGAUUUGGACAUAUGUUAAACUAGUUUGAAAUUUUUAUGCUGCAGAUUUCAAUGCCAUUGUUUGUGUUGGUAUGGAUAUUAUAUAUGCAUAUUUUCUAUUACUAUGAUAGCUUCUUAAAUAGGAAAUUGUAAUUCUGAAGUCUGUAAUUUGUACAGCAUUAGUCAAGGUCUUAUAUUCUUGUCUACUAUGGAGUUUUGCCUCUAUUUUCAAGGUUAUGAGUUAUGACUGAUUAUGGGUUGUAAUUGGUCAUUAAUUAUUUAUUGUUGGAUGAAGCUGGGUGUUAAUCAUUUGUUGUGUUAGUAUUUUGAUAUAAGCUAAGCGCUGGAUGGACUAGAAAUAUGGGUUUGUAGUAGUCUACCAAUGGUACUGUUUCAUGGGGUUGUAAUGCCUGGUAAAGUGGUAAGAAAAGGGCUCUGUUAUACACCUCUUGAAUUCACAUUUUGGACUGUAGUUAGGUGCUUGAAGCUUAAAAUAGUUUCUAUACUACUUUUAACUUUUAUGUCAAGCAAUCCCCAUAUAGAAUGUGAAUCAAAUUUGGGUAGGCAAGAAAGCAAGUUUUUCUUUAGUAUGAAGUAUAUAUUACUUUAUUCUAAGAAUGAUCUGGUUGUAACAUCGGAACCUUAGAACACCCUAAUUUGAGAAAUUUUCUGUGCAUUUUAUUGGAAAGUUUGUUCUUGUGAGCUAUCUACAUUUGGGCCAUACAUUUUGGUAUGGUUGUAUUUCAUUGUUUGCACUACCUUGAUGGUCCCUGGUUUAGAUUGUUAACAUAGUUACUAAGAUAAUUUGUUGCAGGAUGUUUAUGAUAAUGAUUGUUAAUAGAUCAUUUAAUGCAACUGUGAUUUGAUUAUAUGUUUUUUUGCUAGUGUGAUAUGAUCAAUACCUUCUUUGAUAAAAGGCUUACUCAAUCUAGAGCUAUGGUUGACUACGCUUUGGAGUUUCCUACUUUGAAUUGGAGAUCUAGCAAAGAUAAUUCUGAUUUUGGUGUUUAUACUAUAAUGAGCAUGCUUUUAUUCAAUGGAGCUGAUGAGUUUAAAUGUGAAAUUUUAAAAACAGCUUCCAAUAGGAAGAUUCUCCGGAUUCAAAUUGCUGCAUCUUUGGUGUUAUCUGAUAUGAAUGAAGCUAGAUCAAAUGUAAUUGGUAAGGUGGCUGGAUUCAAACCUUAUAGGCAGCGUCUUUCAAAAGAGGUUGAAGAAAUAAGGAAGAAAGAAAUUGAACGAACAGAGGAAGAAUAAGAAGAAGCCGACUAUAGACAAGGAGAAGAAAGGAAAGGCUUAAGAUGUCAAAACAUUGUGUAACUGAUUUUUUGACUUAGUUGUGAUCAUAAUUUUCUGAUGCUAAGCAAAGUACUUUGAAGAUUGUAUAGCUAAUUAGUAUUCAUUCAACUUUUGUGUAGGUUAUUAAAUGAAGAUUGGAAAAAUAUUCAUUUUGUGUAAACAAGCUUUU